rnacentral:rRNA from 1 species
CGGUAAACAGAGGGAAGCGAGCCCGCAGGGGGAGGCAAAUCCAGAAAUAAACGUCCCAGUUCGGAUUGUAGUCUGCAACCCGGCUACAUGAAGCUGGAAUCGCUAGUAAUCGCGGAUCAGAAUGCCGCGGUGAAUACGUUCCCGGGUCUUGUACACACCGCCCGUCACACCAUGGGAGUCGGAAAUGCCCGAAGUCUGUGACCCAACCUCAGGGAGGGAGCAGCCGAAGGCAGGUCGGAUGACUGGGGUGAAGUCGUAACAAGGUAAC